rnacentral:rRNA from 1 species
GAUGAACGCUGGCGGCGUGCCUAACACAUGCAAGUCGAACGGGGUUACACGAGUAGCAAUACUUGUGCAACCUAGUGGCGGACGGGUGAGUAACGCGUGAGCAACCUACCUUCCAGAGGGGGAUAACACAGGGAAACCUGUGCUAAUACCGCAUAAAGUACAGUGGGGGCAUCCCUGCAGUACCAAAGGAGCAAUCCGCUGGGAGAUGGGCUCGCGUCCGAUUAGGUAGUUGGUGGGGUAACGGCUCACCAAGCCGACGAUCGGUAGCCGGACUGAGAGGUUGGCCGGCCACAUUGGGACUGAGACACGGCCCAGACUCCUACGGGAGGCAGCAGUGGGGAAUAUUGGGCAAUGGGCGGAAGCCUGACCCAGCGACGCCGCGUGAGGGAAGACGGCCUUCGGUUGUAACCUCAGUUAUACGGGACGAAGGAAGUGACGGUACCGUAAGAGAAAGACCACGGCUAACUAACGUGCCAGCAGCCGCGUAAAGUCACGUGUA